rnacentral:snRNA from 1 species
UUCGGAGAAAUCAAAUAAUUUC